GUGCUCACUUCAGUAGCACAUACACUAAAAUUGGAACAAUACAGAGACUAGCAUGGCCCCUGAGCAAGGAUGACACACAAACUCAUGAAGUGUUCCAUAUUUUU
ensembl:snRNA U6 U6 spliceosomal RNA